UACGGAGGGGGCUAGCGUUGUUCGGAAUUACUGGGCGUAAAGCGCGCGUAGGCGGCUUUGUAAGUUAGAGGUGAAAGCCCGGAGCUCAACUCCGGAACUGCCUUUAAGACUGCAUCGCUAGAAUCAUGGAGAGGUGAGUGGAAUUCCUGGUGUAGCGGUGAAAUGCGUAGAUAUCAGGAGGAACACCGGUGGCGAAGGCGGCUCUCUGGACCACGAACUGACGCUGAGGCGACGAAAGCCAGGGGAGCAAACGGG
rnacentral:rRNA from 1 species